GGGGAUUUAGCUCAGUGGUAGAGCACUUGCCUAGCAAGCGAAAGGCCCUGGGUUCGAUCCCCAGCCCUG
rnacentral:tRNA from 1 species